rnacentral:rRNA from 1 species
GACGAACCGUGCGAACGUUGUUCGGAAUCACUGGGCUUAAAGGGCGCGUAGGCGGGCUGCCACGUCUGGGGUGAAAUCCCACGGCUCAACCGUGGAACUGCCUCGGAUACUGGCGGUCUCGAGGGAGGUAGGGGCAUGCGGAACUGUGGGUGGAGCGGUGAAAUGCGUUGAUAUCCACAGGAACUCCGGUGGCGAAAGCGGCGUGCUGGACCUCUUCUGACGCUGAGACACGAAAGCGUGGGUAGCAAACAGG